rnacentral:rRNA from 1 species
UCCCAGCAGUCCGAGUCGCAGCCACAAUUAUUGGGUCUAAAACAUCCGUAGCUUGCUUGGUAAGUUCUUUGUCAAAUCGGGACUCUUAAGGUUCCGGCGAGCAAAGGGUACUGCAAAGCUAGAGACCGGUAGACGUAUCGAGUACUAAAAGGGUAGCGGUAAAAUGUGUUGAUCCUUUUGGGACUAACAACAGCGAAGGCACGAUACGAGCACGGAUCUGACAGUGAGGGAUGAAAGCUAGGGGAGCAAACCG